CUAACACAUGCAAGUCGAACGAAGUCUUCGGACUUAGUGGCGCACGGGUGCGUAACGCGUGGGAAUCUGCCCUUGGGUACGGAAUAACUCAGAGAAAUUUGUGCUAAUACCGUAUAAUGUCUUCGGACCAAAGAUUUAUCGCCCAAGGAUGAGCCCGCGUAGGAUUAGCUAGUUGGUGAGGUAAAAGCUCACCAAGGCGACGAUCCUUAGCUGGUCUGAGAGGAUGAUCAGCCACACUGGGACUGAGACACGGCCCAGACUCCUACGGGAGGCAGCAGUGGGGAAUAUUGGACAAUGGGCGAAAGCCUGAUCCAGCAAUGCCGCGUGAGUGAUGAAGGCCUUAGGGUUGUAAAGCUCUUUUACCCGGGAUGAUAAUGACAGUACCGGGAGAAUAAGCUCCGGCUAACUCCGUGCCAGCAGCCGCGGUAAUACGGAGGGAGCUAGCGUUGUUCGGAAUUACUGGGCGUAAAGCGCGCGUAGGCGGUUUUUUAAGUCAGAGGUGAAAGCCCAGUGCUCAACACUGGAACUGCCUUUGAAACUGGAAAACUUGAAUCUUGGAGAGGUCAGUGGAAUUCCGAGUGUAGAGGUGAAAUUCGUAGAUAUUCGGAAGAACACCAGUGGCGAAGGCGACUGACUGGACAAGUAUUGACGCUGAGGUGCGAGAGCGUGGGGAGCAAA
rnacentral:rRNA from 1 species